UACAGAGGGUGCAAGCGUUGUUCGGAAUUACUGGGCGUAAAGCGCACGUAGGCGGCUUUGUAAGUUAGAGGUGAAAGCCCGGAGCUCAACUCCGGAACUGCCUUUAAGACUGCAUCGCUUGAAUCCAGGAGAGGUGAGUGGAAUUCCGAGUGUAGAGGUGAAAUUCGUAGAUAUUCGGAAGAACACCAGUGGCGAAGGCGGCUCACUGGACUGGUAUUGACGCUGAGGUGCGAAAGCGUGGGGAGCAAACAGG
rnacentral:rRNA from 1 species